AGAACGCUCGGACGCUCCGAGGCCCCAGCCGAAUUCGGGCACUUGGGCUGGGACCAAGCCACUAGUGCAACCUACCGCGCGUUGC
rnacentral:ncRNA from 1 species